rnacentral:rRNA from 1 species
UUCUAUUAGAUAUAAUUAAUAGUACUAUCUGCUCAAUGAAAAUUAAAUAGCCGCAAAUAAUCUUGUGCUAAGGUAGCAUAAUCACUCGUUUUUUAAUUAAAAACUAGAAUAAAAGACUAUACAUUUUAAUAAAUUUCUUAAUUUAAUAUCUUAAACUUAUUUUAAAUGUAAAAAAACAUUUAUUAAAAAGGUAGACGACAAGACCCUAUUGAACUUAACUUUAGUUAAACUGGGGCAGUUAAUUAAUAAUUAUUUUAAUAUAAAUACUUAAAUAAAUGAUCUAAUUAAAUUAAUCACUUAACUAAGUUACCAUAGGGAUAACAGCAUAAUAACUAAUUAUAGUUCCUAUAAAAUUAAAUGAUUGUGACCUCGAUGUUGAAUAAUAAUCUUAAUACUUACGCAAUAGUUCUAAAAAGAAAGUCUGUUCGACUUUUAAAAAAUUACA